AGAUGAGAGGUGGCGUGGCCGUAUGCAACGCGCGUAUUACGGCUGUCCUCGCUUCCACGGAAGCGGCGCGCUCAUCUUUCCCGUAUCUACGAUCGGCCGUCACGACACGCGCGUCUCUGUCCCUGCCCUGGAUAUUUCCCGUGGUGAAAUACACAGUACGGGUGUGUGUGUGUACGCGGUAGUUGGGUCCCGUGUCCGCUGUCUCGUCGUAGGAAUAAUUUACUGUGCCGGGAAUAAUUAAGCGAUUAAUUAAAUCUGUUGGCGGGGUGGAGAGGGGUGGAUUGGAAGGAAACGGUGAUUGAUGGGUGAGAGAGUCGAGGCUUCUGGGAUUCUUGUCCCGGAUUAUUUUGCUGGAUGACCGAUCACUUGCCAUUGCAAUCGUGGAGAUAAUUCGAGGACAAGUCUUUCAUUUUGAUGAAAAUCUUUUUCGAUGUUGAAACUGGAAUCUGGCUCCUCGCUGGCAAAGGGCGAGCUUCUCUUCGACCUCCGCUUCUCCUCUUUCUUUCACAAACUGUUCAUAAUCCGUCCAAACAAAGGUUGAUUGCACCAAAAGGCAACAGAGAGCAAUACUGAAAGGGAGACGACAGCUUUAAACAAGAUUAUCAAACGAUUAAAAGAAUUUCAACUCCGUGUUUUCUCUCCCUUUUUUUUUUCCUUUCCAAUUCCUCUUCUUUCCUUCUCGUUCCCUCUCACAUUAACGUAUUUUUUUCGAUUUUUAUCCCUUUCUCUUUCUCGAGUGCAUAUUUCCUUCCUUUAUCCCUCCAGAUCUCAUUCCUAUACUUUUUUUUUUUUUUUUUGCCUUCUAAACUCUUCAGUGCCUCAGACUCUCUCCAUCUAGCGGUUGUUUUUUUAACGUAACCUCUACCACGGUUCCUCGUUCCGCCUUCCUCUAUCACUCUCCUCCUUUUUCUGUGUUAUUUAUCUCUCUCCCGGUCGGUUCGUUCCGCCGCGUUUCUGUCUCUGGCCCAUCGUCGGUCACCUCCCGGGCAAUUUCGUGCGAAGCACCAACGAACGAACGAACGAACGAACGAACGCGGCGUGGCGUGUGGGUGGACGAGAAAAGAGCACAGAGCGUGCAACGGCAGAGUAGGGAUCGGAAGAGAUUAGCCCCAGGAGGCUCCUUUGUGCAGCAAUGAAAAUGGCUUGUCUCAAAGAACCGCGACGGAUACAUUUUUAAUUACCUCAAAUAUCACUCGGAGAGCUCGCCCAAGUUUCUUAAUUAAAUGUCAUAUUGCGCCCGCGGGCCACGUGAUCCUCCUUUCGAAACACAGAGAAGACGGUGGGUAUACGUAUAUCUA